AGCAGCCGCGGUAAUUCCAGCUCCAAUAGCGUAUAUUAAAGUUGUUGCAGUUAAAAAGCUCGUAGUUGAACCUCGGGGUUCACCCAUUGGUCAGGCUUAAUUGUCUGUACUGGUGAGAUGAGUCUCUACCUUCUGAGGAACUUUCAUGCCAUUUGUUUGGUGUGAUGGGGAAAUCAGGACUGUUACUUUGAAAAAUUAGAGUGUUUAAAGCAGGCUAACGUCUGAAUACAUUAGCAUGGAAUAAUGAAAUAGGACAGAUUGAUUCUAUUUCGUUGGUUUCUAGGGUCACCGUAAUAAUUAAUAGGGAUAGUUGGGGGGCAUUAGUAUUCAAUUGUCAGAGGUGAAAAUUCUUGGAUUUAUUGAAGACUUAACUACUGCGAAAAGCAUUUGCCAAGGAUGUUUUCAUUAAUCAAGAAUGAAAGUUAGGGGGAUCGAGGACGAUCAGAUACCGUCGGUAGUCUUAACCAUAAAACUAUGCCGACUAGGGAUCGGACGCAGUUAAUUUAUAAUGACGUGUUCG
rnacentral:rRNA from 1 species